rnacentral:other from 1 species
GACUCUCUGCCCUUCAGGUGAGGUCAGAAUGUCCACUCGGAAUAGCAUAACCUUCGGAGCUAUCUUCAGGAACCCGGUGUGCCUGCCCGCCUUGGAGCGGGACGCCUGAUGGGUUUACAGCUGGCUCCACUUUAUUGGCACUCGAUGUGAGUCCAAUGACCCACGGUAGUGGUGGAGAGUCG